rnacentral:lncRNA from 1 species
CUUGGAUUAUUUCUGUGGUGUUCCUCUGGACAUGUUCGAACAGGUCCAUGUCUCUCUUGUAUUGAGGACUGCAUCAGGACACAGUACUCCAGAUUAAUCAGCCACUCGAUGGGGAUUAACAGUGGAGCACCUCUUUGUGUCGCCUUUCCACCUCUCUGUAGCAAGAAUAACAACUUCAGCACUUCUUCAAUAAUAAUUAUGAAACUGGUAUUAACUGAAUGGCAAUUAUGGAUUUUUAACUCUAACUCACAGUAAACCAGCAAGCCAUAUGUUGAAAUUCCUACCAAAUAGCUUUCCAUUCUUUAUGUCUCGUAUCUACACAAGAAGUUGCAAGAUACUUGUUUGUACAAGAGGAAUAUAAGCAUUACUUGCCUGAGGAACGGAAGGUGAAAGAGAAGACACCCUGACUUGUU